rnacentral:rRNA from 1 species
GGGAUGGCUUUUCUUAAGUGUAAAAAGCUUUUGGAAUAAGAGCUGGGCAAGACCGGUGCCAGCCGCCGCGGUAACACCGGCAGCUCUAGUGGUAGCUGUUUUUAUUGGGCCUAAAGCGUUCGUAGCCGGUUUGAUAAGUCACUGGUGAAAUCCUGUAGCUUAACUGUGGGAAUUGCUGGUGAUACUGUUGAACUUGAGGUCGGGAGAGGUUAGCGGUACUCCCAGGGUAGAGGUGAAAUUCUGUAAUCCUGGGAGGACCACCUGUGGCGAAGGCGGCUAACUGGAACGAACCUGACGGUGAGGGACGAAAGCUAGGGGCGCGAACCGGAUUAGAUACCCGGGUAGUCCUAGCCGUAAACGAUGCGGACUUGGUGUUGGGAUGGCUUUGAGCCGCUCCGGUGCCGAAGGGAAGCUGUUAAGUCCGCCGCCUGGGAAGUACGGUCGCAAGACUGAAACUUAA